UGGGGAAUCUUGGACAAUGGGGGCAACCCUGAUCCAGCCAUGCCGCGUGAGUGAUGAAGGCCUUAGGGUCGUAAAGCUCUUUCGCCUGUGAAGAUAAUGACGGUAGCAGGUAAAGAAACCCCGGCUAACUCCGUGCCAGCAGCCGCGGUAAUACGGAGGGGACAAGCGUUAUUCGGAAUUACUGGGCGUAAAGCGCACGUAGGCGGACCAGAAAGUUGGGGGUGAAAUCCCGGGGCUCAACCCCGGAACUGCCUCCAAAACUAUUGGUCUAGAGUUCGAGAGAGGUGAGUGGAAUUCCAAGUGUAGAGGUGAAAUUCGUAGAUAUUUGGAGGAACACCAGUGGCGAAGGCGGCUCACUGGCUCGAUACUGACGCUGAGGUGCGAAAGUGUGGGGAGCAAAACAGGAUUAGAUACCCUGGUAGUCCACACCGUAAAACGAUGAAUGCCAGUCGUCGGGUAGCAUGCUAUUCGGUGACACACCUAACGGAUUAAGCAUUCCGCCUGGGGAGUACGGUCGCAAGAUUAAAACUCAAAUGAAUUG
rnacentral:rRNA from 1 species